rnacentral:rRNA from 1 species
UACGUAGGUGGCGAGCGUUGUCCGGAUUUACUGGGUGUAAAGGGCGUGUAGGCGGGAAUGUAAGUCAGAUGUGAAAUUUAGAAGCUCAACUUCUAAGCUGCAUCUGAAACUAUGUUUCUUGAGUGAUGGAGAGGAAAGUGGUAUUCCUAGUGUAGCGGUGAAAUGCGUAGAUAUUAGGAGGAACACCAGUGGCGAAGGCGACUUUCUGGACAUUAACUGACGCUGAGGCGCGAAAGCGUGGGGAGCAAACAGG